rnacentral:rRNA from 1 species
UACGUAGGGUGCGAGCGUUAAUCGGAAUUACUGGGCGUAAAGCGUGCGCAGGCGGUUUGCUAAGACCGAUGUGAAAGCCCCGGGCUCAACCUGGGAAUGGCGAUGGAUACCGGCGGGCUAGAGUGCGGUAGAGGAGAGUGGAAUUCCCGGUGUAGCAGUGAAAUGCGUAGAGAUCGGGAGGAACAUCAGUUGCGAAGGCGGCUCUCUGGACCAGCACUGACACUGAGGCACGAAAGCGUGGGGAGCAAACAGG